rnacentral:rRNA from 1 species
AACUUUGAGUGAUAGAUCACUCGGCUCGAGGGUCGAUGAAGAGUGCAGUCAAUUGUGUGAAUUAAUAUGAACUGUAUACUGCUUUGAACAUGGACAUUUUGAACGCAUAUUUUGCCGAUAUCUCUCCGACGGUAGGUUUUUUUUAAUCUGU